rnacentral:rRNA from 1 species
UUAAUAACGAGAAACACCUUACCAGAUCUCAAGAUCCGGAUGAAUAAGGGAUAAUGUCGUUCCGCCUUCGGCUCAUAAGAAACAGGUGGAUCAUGGUUGUCAUCAGCUGUUGUGGGGAGAUGGGGGAAUUACUCCCACAACGAGCACAACCCUUGUCUAUAGUCACCAGCAGUAGGAGGGGAAUUAAAGGGGGAUUCCCAGGGAUAACCGGGAGAAAGGUGGGGAGGACGCAAAUUCUUCAUGCCCUUUAUGAUAUGGGCCACACACGUGUUCAAAUGUCGUAACAAAGGGAAGCGAAGCCGCGAGGUUGAGCAAAUCCCAAAAAUCACGUCCCAGUUCGGACUGUAGUCUGCAACUCGCCUGCACGAAGCUGGAAUCGCUAGUAAUCGCAU